AGUAAGUAUCAAAGAUACAGCUGCUUCCCCACUUAAGCAGCAGCCAAUAAAGAGCCCAUAGUGACAGUUUUCCUGUCUGGCCACUGUUCUGUGGUCUGUAACUGAUGUAUGACAUUUUGGGACAACUCAGCU